GAGGGGUGAUCGGCCACAUUGGGACUGAGACACGGCCCAAACUCCUACGGAAGGCAGCAG
rnacentral:rRNA from 1 species